GCUGGAGAUGGAGGAUAUGACAUUAUUCUGAUUACAGAGAUACCUUACUCGAUCAACUCCUUGCGGAAGCUACAUGCCCUCAUAACAAAGUGCCUGCGACCGCCUUAUGGGGUGUUAUAUUUGGCUGCAAAAAAACAUUUCGUCGGUUCGAACUGUGGAACGCGUCAGCUGAGAGCCUUGGUGGACGAGGAAGGCAUUUUUGGCGCGCACAUUGUUAA
rnacentral:misc_RNA from 1 species